GUAACGAUCUGGGCACUGUCUCAACGAGAGACUCGGUGAAAUUAUAUUGUCCGUGAAGAUGCGGACUACCCGCGACAGGACGGAAAGACCCCAUGGAGCUUUACUGUAGCUUGAUAUUGAGUGUUUGUACAGCUUGUACAGGAUAGGUAGGAGCCAUAGAAACCGGAACGCUAGUUUCGGUGGAGGCGUUGGUGGGAUACUACCCUCGCUGUAUGACCACUCUAACCCGCACCACUAAUCGUGGUGGGAGACAGUGUCAGGUGGGCAGUUUGACUGGGGCGGUCGCCUCCUAAAAAGUAACGGAGGCGCCC
rnacentral:rRNA from 1 species